UGGGGAAUUUUCCGCAAUGGGCGCAAGCCUGACGGAGCAAUACCGCGUGAGGGAGGAAGGCUUUUGGGUUGUAAACCUCUUUUCUCAAGGAAGAAGCACUGACGGUACUUGAGGAAUCAGCAUCGGCUAACUCCGUGCCAGCAGCCGUGGUAAUACGGAGGAUGCAAGCGUUAUUCGGAAUUAUUGGGCGUAAAGCGUCCGCAGGUGGUGCCUCAAGUCUGCUGUCAAAGACCGAAGGACAACUUCGGGCAGGCAGAGGAAACUCAACCACUAGAGUACGGUAGGGGUAGAGGGAAUUUCCAGUGUAGCGGUGAAAUGCGUAGAGAUUGGAAAGAACACCAGUGGCGAAGGCGCUCUACUGGACCGUAACUGACACUCAGGGGCGAAAGCUAGGGGAGCGAAAGGGAUUAGAUACCCCCGUAGUCC
rnacentral:rRNA from 1 species